rnacentral:rRNA from 1 species
UACAUAGGGGGCAAGCGUUGUUCGGAAUUACUGGGCGUAAAGGGCGCGUAGGCGGCCACCUAAGUCAGACGUGAAAUCCCUCGGCUUAACCGGGGAACUGCGUCUGAUACUGGUUGGCUUGAGUUUGGGAGAGGGACGCGGAAUUCCAGGUGUAGCGGUGAAAUCCGUAGAUAUCGGGAGGAAUACCAGUGGCGAAGGCGGCCAUCUGGACGGUGACUGACGCUGAGACGCGAAAGCGUGGGGAGCAAACAGG